rnacentral:lncRNA from 1 species
UAUGAAAGGAGGAGAAGUGUCACCUCCAGGCCACCACAGUGAGAAGCCUGCUCAUCAUAGAACAGUGUUUUCUAGAAGUUCUAGAAACUUCCGAGUUCUCUCCCGCUGCCUGGGUGAUUGCAGAAGAUUCCCACUGCUUGAUGUGCAGUCACAGAUGGAAGCAGCCUGGAUCCCGAGUCACUGAUGGAAAAGUCGCCCAGAGCAGCGACACCCUUUAUGGAACUGAAAAAUCAACUUUUCGUCUGCUAAGCUGCUAUAAUUUUUGAAAUUGCUUUUUUUUAAUUGAGAUAAAAUUGACACAGAACAUUAUGUUAGUUUUAGGUGUACAACAUAAUGAUUCAGUGUUUGUAAUGGAAUUGCUUCUUUAUUGCAGCAAAGCAUAGCCCAUCCUUAGCAGUUCCCCAACGUUUUGGUUACAAAUUUGGAAAAGUCCUCCUGGCUGCCAUGGCUUCAGAAUCUGUUUGCCAUUAUGAUAUUCUGCUCCUUCUUUAUUUUUGGAUUCCAGGAAUUUCCCCAUUUCUUUAGAAGCUUAUUCAUGGACUCAAGUUGCUUUCAAACAUAGAGCUCCACCACGCCAGCCCCUGCUCUCAGACCUCCCUGAUUCCCCAUCCAAACUCCGUAGCAUGGCACAGGGCCCUUACAUGUGGCGCUGGCUCGUCUGUACCUCCUUGCCUCUCAGCAGUCCCUGCCUCCCACCAGCACUCUGCUCCAGCCAAGCAACCAUCACCACGCGCCAUAAUUUUGUGUGUCGAGGGCAUGCAUUUCCCAGUCUUAAAACUCCAGACUCUCUUCUGGAUAAAUACUCAGGACAGUUCCAGAUUGUUCCCUCUCUUUUCUCCGUGGAGUUACUCUCAGCUUCUGGAGGGGUUCC